rnacentral:rRNA from 1 species
UACGUAGGGGGCUAGCGUUGUCCGGAAUCAUUGGGCGUAAAGCGCGUGUAGGCGGUUCGGUAAGUCCGCUGUGAAAGUCGGGGGCUCAACCCUCGGAUGCCGGUGGAUACUGUCGGACUAGAGUACGGAAGAGGCGAGUGGAAUUCCUGGUGUAGCGGUGAAAUGCGCAGAUAUCAGGAGGAACACCAAUUGCGAAGGCAGCUCGCUGGGACGUUACUGACGCUGAGACGCGAAAGCGUGGGGAGCGAUCCGG